AGAAGAGAGAUCUAGGGGGAGGGGAGCAGCACAAGUUUGGCUGGGGGUAGUAGAUUCCUCUAUGGAUGGAGACUACAGGAACACCGCCCCACUCUCUAUAGGCAAGCCAUAGACCCACCUGGAAGGAAGUUUAAUGCCAUGCCAAUGAUUUUUUUUUUUAAUAGGAUGUAAAAUAGAAGAAGGAAAGGGGGGAGACCAUGGCCAGCGUCUCCUCCUUCCUCUCUCCCUCCUCCCCCUGGGGUGUGCGGAAAAAAGGGAGGAGGGGGAGGUCGUGCAGUUCCUUUUGCUGUUUGCCAAUAUGGCUUGAGGACUUUGAAUAGGUAGAUCGCUUUCAAGAGUGAAUGAGGGGGGGAGGGGUGUAGUAGGAUGAUCAUACACCAGGCUGCAUCGGCCGACAUGCACUGCAGCAAAAUACAAUGGGGGUGCAUGGGCAUGCCAACACUUGCCAUCGCACGCAUGGGCUUUAUUUAUUUAUUUUUUGUUUAUUAUUAUGCUGCCUUCCUUAUUUAUUUUUUCUUCUGAAAUGCAGCAUCCCCCCCUCCUUUCCCUGGAGAUCCCAGCACCAGAUCGUACGCCCGACCUCCGCACAGAGCCAUCGAUGGAUCCUGCGCCCCCCAUCCCCCCUUCUCGCUCACACAGCCAUUCAUAAUUUUCCUGCAUUUGUAAGAAAUAACAAUGGUGGCUCUGUGGGGGGAGGGGAGGAGGGAUGGGAAGAGUCAGCCUCUAGUAAAAACAAAAAAUGUUGAGUGGAGGUGCAAAGAAUCUCCUCCGAUUAAAAAGCCUUUCUUUCCACCACCCGGGAGAAAGCCUCUGCUGUCAUUGUGUUCACUUGUUGCAGAUUUUUUAUUCUAGUUUCUCUAGGCUCAGGUCGAUCUAAAAAAUCUCUCUAGGACCGAGGCAAAAAGAUGUCUGCUUUCACUGUCCUCUGACUUCUAAAUUCUGAUUGGCCACUAUAGACAAGGAGGAUACAUUGUUUUCACUGUUUGCAAAUUAAUUGGUCCAGCUAUCCCUUUACAUCCUCAUAAAAGUCAUUUAGAACCGGCCAUUUUUUUCUCCUUUUUUCAUUCUGGAUGAAGGAUAAAACCCCUGACAGUUUAUUUUGUUGCUUUCUAUGUCCUCUUUGGGAGAUUUCCCUUCACUUUCUGUAUUGGAAAUGACAUGGAAGAAAGCGGUAAUCUCUCAAAGUAAGGUAAUUCAGCUCUCAGUUAUUUUACAGAAGAGUUCCCUUCUCUAUUCAAAAUUAGAAAAAAAAAUUGUGCCUAUACGUACACUUUAAUUAUGAAUUAAUGAAGCUGCUCUAUAAAAUGUAUAUACGAAAUACCGAGAUAAAAACACAACCGAUGACUUGCUUCAUUAAAAUCGCACAAAUCAGAAUCAUCUACUUUGGGAAACUGUUAAAUACAUUUUCAAAGAUAAAUAUAUAGUAUAAAACACAAACUGUUAGAUUUUUUUUUUUUUUUACAUUUUUCCCGUAUGCAGUCAAGUAAUGUAUAAAUAUUUGAUUCUGUUUUGAAAUGUGAGGCUAAACUUUUUGGGUAAAUUUCGUAGAAAAGAAAAGGAAGAAUCCUAUAAAAAAAAUGUCUCUUGAUUGUAUUGAUAUUUUAUGGUUGUAAUAAAAAAGUAGAACAAAUGAAAAGUGGAAAUGCAAAUAUUCAAUAGGAAUUAAAGGCAUUGCUGAAACGUUAAA